rnacentral:rRNA from 1 species
UGGGGAAUUUUGGACAAUGGGGGCAACCCUGAUCCAGCCAUGCCGCGUGAAGGAUGAAGUAUUUCGGUAUGUAAACUUCGAAAGAAUAGGAAGAAUAAAUGACGGUACUAUUUAUAAGGUCCGGCUAACUACGUGCCAGCAGCCGCGGUAAUACGUAGGGACCAAGCGUUGUUCGGAUUUACUGGGCGUAAAGGGCGCGUAGGCGGCAUGACAAGUCACUUGUGAAAUCUCUGGGCUUAACCCAGAACGGCCAAGUGAUACUGUCGCGCUAGAGUGCAGAAGGGGCAAUCGGAAUUCUUGGUGUAGCGGUGAAAUGCGUAGAUAUCAAGAGGAACACCUGAGGUGAAGACGGGUUGCUGGGCUGACACUGACGCUGAGGCGCGAAAGCCAGGGGAGCAAACGGGAUUAGAUACCCCCGUAGUCCCUGAGCGGGCUGGCAAGGCGCAU